UACGGAGAGUGCAAACGUUGUUCGGAUUCACUGGGCGUAAAGGGCACGUAGGCGGCUCGGCAAAUCGGUCGUGGAAUCUCGACGCUUACCGUCGAAACGGCGGCCGAAAAUACCGGGCUCGAGGGCGUGAGGGGUCACUGGAACUCCUGGUGAAGCGGUGAAAUGCGUAGAUAUCAUUUGGAACGCCAAUGAUGAAAACAGGUAGCUGGGGCUGUGCUGACACUGAGACACGAAAGCCAGGGGAGCAAACGGG
rnacentral:rRNA from 1 species